rfam:Brassica oleracea var. oleracea cultivar TO1000 chromosome C3, whole genome shotgun sequence
AAGGGUCAAGUGAGGAUUGAAAACGCAUAGUUCAGAUGAACUUACAUGAUUACAUCUAUUCAGCAUAGUCUUUCGCUCCUAUCUGAUGACCCUU